GAUCAUGGCUCAGGACGAACGCUGGCGGCGUGCCUAACACAUGCAAGUCGAACGGAGCACUUCGGUGCUUAGUGGCGAACGGGUGAGUAACGCGUGAGAAACCUGCCUUUCAGUGGGGGACAACAGUUGGAAACGACUGCUAAUACCGCAUAAUGUUAUUUGGGGGCAUCCCUGAAUAACCAAAGCUUUAUGUGCUGAAAGAUGGUCUCGCGUCUGAUUAGCUAGUUGGUGGGGUAACGGCUCACCAAGUCGACGAUCAGUAGCCGGACUGAGAGGUUGAACGGCCACAUUGGGACUGAGAUACGGCCCAGACUCCUACGGGAGGCAGCAGUCGGGAAUAUUGCGCAAUGGAGGAAACUCUGACGCAGUGACGCCGCGUGCAGGAAGAAGGUUUUCGGAUUGUAAACUGCUUUAGACAGGGAAGAAACAAGACAGUACCUGUAGAAUAAGCUCCGGCUAACUACGUG
rnacentral:rRNA from 1 species